rnacentral:rRNA from 1 species
UAGGGAAUCUUCCACAAUGGGCGCAAGCCUGAUGGAGCAACACCGCGUGAGUGAAGAAGGGUUUCGGCUCGUAAAGCUCUGUUGUUGGAGAAGAACGUGCGUGAGAGUAACUGUUCACGCAGUGACGGUGGUCCAACCAGAAAGUCACGGCUAACUACGUG